GAUGAACGCUGGCGGCGUGCUUAACACAUGCAAGUCGAACGGAAAGGCCCAAGCUUGCUUGGGUACUCGAGUGGCGAACGGGUGAGUAACACGUGGGUGAUCUGCCCUGCACUUCGGGAUAAGCCUGGGAAACCGGGUCUAAUACCGGAUAGGACCACAUUUUGGAUGGUGUGGUGGAAAGUUUUUCGGUGUGGGAUGAGCUCGCGGCCUAUCAGCUUGUUGGUGGGGUAAUGGCCUACCAAGGCGUCGACGGGUAGCCGGCCUGAGAGGGUGUACGGCCACAUUGGGACUGAGAUACGGCCCAGACUCCUACGGGAGGCAGCAGUGGGGAAUAUUGCACAAUGGGCGCAAGCCUGAUGCAGCGACGCCGCGUGGGGGAUGACGGCCUUCGGGUUGUAAACUCCUUUCGCUAGGGACGAAGCGUUUUUGUGACGGUACCUGGAGAAGAAGCACCGGCUAACUACGUG
rnacentral:rRNA from 1 species